rnacentral:rRNA from 1 species
UACGGGGGGGGCAAGCGUUGUUCGGAAUUACUGGGCGUAAAGGGCUCGUAGGCGGCCAACUAAGUCAGACGUGAAAUCCCUCGGCUUAACCGGGGAACUGCGUCUGAUACUGGAUGGCUUGAGUUUGGGAGAGGGAUGCGGAAUUCCAGGUGUAGCGGUGAAAUGCGUAGAUAUCUGGAGGAACACCGGUGGCGAAGGCGGUCUGCUGGGCAGUUGCUGACACUGAGGCGCGACAGCGUGGGGAGCAAACAGG